UUUCAAUCUCCCUCCCACCUCUUUUCCCCAAUUUCAAUCUCCCUCCUCUCUUCAACGAGAAGCUUUCACCUCCAACAAAACCUAGUCGCCGCCGCCUCCUCCUCCUCCCCGUUGGCCAUCUCCAUCCUCCAACAUCAUCGAGCCGUUCAUUCUUCUCCUCCUCCUUCUUCUUUCCAUGAUAUAAUUCUCUGGUACCCCUCACUGGGCUCUUCAACUUCGGCGACGGCCAUGCUAUGAGGCUCUGGUGCCUCAGUCUCUGGCGCAGUGGAGGCGCUAGGCAUCUGCUAUCUUACUCUCUCAGAUCUCAGUCACUUUCAGGAGUAAUAAUGCAAUGAUUCAACCAGAUGAGCAGCCUUGUACUUGCAAGAUAAUAAAAAGCAUCUGACUUGUAAUCUUUUUAGUCAGCUGUACAGCGAUAAUUCUAGAAAUAGG
rnacentral:lncRNA from 1 species